ensembl:snoRNA LOC120101239 small nucleolar RNA SNORA15
GGAUGGCUGAAUGCCAUGGACUUCUGUCAGUAAUGCACAUAGCCAGACACCAGGCAAAAGCGGAGUCUUCCUCUAAGGCGACUGGCACACUGUUUUCUAAGGUAUAUCGCUACUAAAAGUUAAGUACAAAG